rnacentral:rRNA from 1 species
AGCAGCCGCGGUAAUUCCAGCUCCAAUAGCGUAUAUUAAAGUUGCUGCAGUUAAAAAGCUCGUAGUUGAAUUUCGGGACUAAUAUGUCGGUCGUGCCUCGGUACGUACUGGCUUAUUGGUUUCUCCUUUCUGAAGAACCAUGAUGUCAUUUAUUUGGUGUCGUAGGGAAUCAGGACUGUUACUUUGAAAAAAUUAGAGUGUUUAAAGCAGGCUCACGCUUGAAUACAUUAGCAUGGAAUAAUGAAAUAGGACGUUUGAUUCUAUUUUGUUGGUUUCUAGGAUCGACGUAAUGAUUAAUAGGGAUAGUUGGGGGCAUUAGUAUUCAAUUGUCAGAGGUGAAAUUCUUGGAUUUAUUGAAGACUAACUACUGCGAAAGCAUUUGCCAAGGAUGUUUUCAUUAAUCAAGAACGAAAGUUAGGGGAUCGAAGACGAUCAGAUACCGUCGUAGUCUUAACCAUAAACUAUGCCGACUAGGGAUCGGAUGAUGUUAAUUUUUUAAUGACUCAUUCGGCGCCUUACG